rnacentral:tRNA from 1 species
GGUGGCUCAGCCAGUAGAGCACAUGCCUCCUAUGUAUGAGGUCCUGGGUUCAAUCCCUGGCACCA